CUACGUGCCAGCAGCCGCGGUAAUACGUAGGGUGCGAGCGUUAAUCGGAAUUACUGGGCGUAAAGCGAGCGCAGACGGUUACUUAAGCAGGAUGUGAAAUCCCCGGGCUCAACCUGGGAACUGCGUUCUGAACUGGGUGACUAGAGUGUGUCAGAGGGAGGUAGAAUUCCACGUGUAGCAGUGAAAUGCGUAGAGAUGUGGAGGAAUACCGAUGGCGAAGGCAGCCUCCUGGGAUAACACUGACGUUCAUGCUCGAAAGCGUGGGUAGCAAACAGGAUUAGAUACCCUGGUAGUCCACGCCCUAAACGAUGUCAAUUAGCUGUUGGGCAACUUGAUUGCUUAGUAGCGUAGCUAACGCGUGAAAUUGACCGCCUGGGGAGUACGGUCGCAAGGUUAAAACUCAAAUGAAUUGACGGGGGCCCGCACAAGCGGUGGAGCAUGUGGUUUAAUUCGAUGCAACGCGAAGAACCUUACCUACUCUUGACAUCCAGA
rnacentral:rRNA from 1 species